rnacentral:rRNA from 1 species
UACAGAGGGUGCAAACGUUGCUCGGAAUCAUUGGGCGUAAAGCGCACGUAGGCGGUCCAGCAAGUGGGGAGUGAAAGCCCACGGCUCAACCGUGGAGGGUCAUUGGAAACUGGAGAACUUGAGUACAGAAGAGGAAAGCGGAAUUCCACGUGUAGCGGUGAAAUGCGUAGAGAUGUGGAGGAACACCAGUGGCGAAGGCGGCUUUCUGGUCUGUAACUGACGCUGAGGCGCGAAAGCGUGGGGAGCAAACAGG